rnacentral:lncRNA from 1 species
AUGGACAUCCGAGUCGACGGGUGUUCGUGACGAUUUCCCGCGCUUUUCCGUACAACGGAUUCGCGAAGGAUUUUUUAAAUUGUUAUUUUUUUUAAUAAGGCCAAGGAAUUUUGUGAUAAUGUUACGUUAAUGUCGGGAAUAAGUCAAUUUAGUGAGGGUGUGUAUAAAUUAUAGUUCUGUGGUUAAUUUUCAUCAGCAGAACUUGUCAUUUUGAUAUAAAAAAAAAAUUUUUGCUUUAAAGGAAAUAUCUAUUUUUAUAUUAUGUUUGAAAUUAAACUAAAUCAAGAAAACAGUGUUCAGUAGUAUAAACAAAAAAAUUUUAGCAAUAACCAGUUCAAUUAAAAAUAGACACAUCCGUAGUAAUAUAAAUAAAGUGUUAAUCUAUAUAAAAUAACAAUAACUUCAAGUGCCGUGUUUUACACAUAUGUGACGAGUUUUGUAAGUUGGCAAUUAGUUACCUGUCAGUGACAAGUUUUAGUUGGUAAUCAGUUGGUGAAGUUGAUGACGAGUUUUACAAGUUAGUGAUUAUUUGAUGAAGUUAGUGACGAGUUUCGCAAGUUGAUGUUCAGUUGACGAGUUAGUGACGCGUUUGCCAAGUCGUAGACGAGUUCGUCAAGUUGGUGCACGUAGCGUGCGCGGACUGCGCGCGUCGUGCAGGUCGCGCGCGACACGUGCCCGCGCGCGACCGCGAGCCAUGCUCUGACCGUGUCAUGGAGACUAUUUCUGAAGAUGCCGAAGCCGAAUUGGAGCUUG